GACAGAGGGUGCGAACGUUGCUCGGAAUCACUGGGCGUAAAGCGCGCGUAGGCGGACCGGAAAGUCGGUUGUGAAAUCCCUGGGCUCAACCCAGGAACUGCAUCCGAAACUCCCGGUCUCGAGUGACGGAGAGGAUAGUGGAAUUCCCGGUGUAGCGGUGAAAUGCGCAGAUAUCGGGAGGAACACCUAUGGCGAAGGCAGCUCGCUGGGCCUUACCUGACGCUGAGGAGCGAAAGCGUGGGGAGCAAACGGG
rnacentral:rRNA from 1 species